AGACAGGAGAGUUAGUGUAUUAUUAUUAUUUUUUGCUUUUUUUGGCUGAAGAUCUGAAGAGAAGAGAAGAGAAGGCGUAAGAAAAACAACAAAGCUCAGGUAAGAGAUAGAGAAAUGAUAUUGAAAUUGUUGGUUUGGAGUUUUGUGUAUGGUUAGUAUUUUUAGUAGCUCUGUUGUUAAAUGCAAUUGGCUAUGAAAAGUUUCCCCUCUUUUUUUGGGUGUGGUGUAUUUUGCCAGAAAAUUCUGAGUUUCAAGCUCCAAACUAAGUUUCUAUGGAGUUGUAUUGGAGUUCAACCUAACUAGAGGAGAGAGUUUAAAAUCAGUACGUAUUGAGCUUAAGUUGGAAGAGUAAAUGCGACGAAUUGGAGUGAACCUGAACUGUUUCUGAAUUGUUUUUGUUUUCUUGUUCAUUUAGGGAUUGCGGGUUUGGUUUUAGUCUUUCCAUGGUGAAGAAGAAAUGGGCUAAAAGGUCUUUUUUUUUGCUCACUGAUCUCUGUCCUUUAAGGUAAAUUGAUUUAAUUUCCUCUUUCAUUCUCACUCACUACAUCCCCAAACAUGCAUACACUCUUCUGAUAUAUAUAUAUAUAUAUAUAUAUAUAUAUAGGAAAAAAUGUGUGUACACAGCUACAGUAGGUUAUAGCGACGAUUUUUUGGGCUAUAGCGACGGUUUCACCCGUCGUCAUAGCUAUUCUGGGCUAUGGCGACAGUUUACCGUCGCUAUAACCCAAAAAAUUUGUCGUCGUAGGCCUACUGUGUAAUACACAGCUGUGUAUAUACAUAUAGCCCAUAUAUAUAUAUAUAUAUAUAUACACACUCACAUGUUUAUAUUUGUAUAUAUGUAUGUAUGUAGGAUUGUAGUUUUCUUUUAUUUUUGUUGUUCACAACUUAUUUGCAAUGUUUUUCCUGAAUUUGUGGAUCUUUGUUUUGUUCACAGCAUUUCAUGAGAAAGGCAAAGAAUCUAGUAUAUAAAGUAGGGGGUUAGAUUCUUGCUUUAUUCCUU
rnacentral:lncRNA from 1 species